AGGAGUGAAGCAGCUGCAUGGUUUUCUGAAGAGUCCAGACUGUAGACUGGAGACUCUGAGUUUAUGGAGCUGCAAUUUGUCAAAAAUCAGCUGUGAUUCUCUGGCCUCAGCUCUGAAGUCCAACCCCUCCCAUCUGAAACAUCUGGACAUGAGU